UUUAAAUGGCCGCAGUAUACUGACUGUGCAAAGGUAGCAUAAUCAUUAGUCUUUUAAUUGAAGGCUGGUAUGAAUGGUUGGACGAGAUAUUAACUGUUUCAUAAAAAUUUAUAAUAGAAUUUUAUUUUUUAGUCAAAAAGCUAAAAUUUAUUUAAAAGACGAGAAGACCCUAUAAAUCUUUAUAUUUAAAUAAUUAUUAUUUUGUAGAUUUAUUUUGUUAUAAUUAUUGAUAAUAUUUUAUUGGGGUGAUAUUAAAAUUUAAUGAACUUUUAAUUGUUAAAAUCAUUAAUUUAUGAAUAAUUGAUCCAUUAUUAGUGAUUAAAAAAAUAAGUUACUUUAGGGAUAACAGCGUAAUUUUUUUGGAGAGUUCAUAUCGAUAAAAAAGAUUGCGACCUCGAUGUUGGAUUAAGAUAUAAUUUUAGGUGUAGAUGCUUAAAUUUUAAGUCUGUUCGACUUUUAAUUUCU
rnacentral:rRNA from 1 species